rnacentral:rRNA from 1 species
AGCAGCCGCGGUAAUUCCAGCUCCAAUAGCGUAUAUUAAAGUUGUUGCAGUUAAAAAGCUCGUAGUUGAAUUUCGGGAUCAGCAGGUCGGUCGUGCCAAUGGUAUGCACUGGCCUUGUUGAUUCCUCCCUCUUGAUGAGCCGUAAUGCCAUUAAUUUGGUGUUGCGGGGAAUCAGGACUGUUACUUUGAAAAAAUUAGAGUGUUUAAAGCAGGCAAGCGCUUGAAUACAUUAGCAUGGAAUAAUGAAAUAGGACGUUUGAUCCUAUUUUGUUGGUUUCUAGGAUUGACGUAAUGAUUAAUAGGGAUAGUUGGGGGCAUUAGUAUUCAAUUGUCAGAGGUGAAAUUCUUGGAUUUAUUGAAGACUAACUACUGCGAAAGCAUUUGCCAAGGAUAUUUUCAUUAAUCAAGAACGAAAGUUAGGGGAUCGAAGACGAUCAGAUACCGUCGUAGUCUUAACCAUAAACUAUGCCGACUAGGGAUCGGAUGAUGUUAAUUUUUUAAUGACUCA